rnacentral:RNase_P_RNA from 1 species
CAAGCAGGCUAGGCUGUCGCCCUGAUGAAAGUCGGGGAGGAAAGUCCGAGCUCCCCCGGGCAGAUGCUGGGUAACGCCCAGGACGGGCAACCGUACGGCAAGCGCCACAGAGACACACCGCCGAUCUCGCAAGAGAGGCAAGGGUGAAAACGUGAGGUAAGAGCUCACGGCCGGUUUGGGCAACCAGGUCGGCAGGCAAGCCCCAUCCGGAGCAAGGCCAAAUAGGAGGACGCACGAGCCCGGCGAGUCCUCGGGUUGGCCGCACGACUUCACCGGUGACGGUGGAGCUAGAUAGAUGACAGCCCCCGACGCCGCAGGAUGAGGUCCCUCCCUUCGGGGAGAGAUGUAAACGGCGGCGACGGUACAGAACUCGGCUUACAGGCCCGCUUCACGU